rnacentral:misc_RNA from 1 species
UUGAUUGAUUCAAUUUGUACUCAGACGCCAAGAUGCAGGGUUGAAGGUCCACCGGGGACCCCGACGCCCGAAGGCCGGGUCGCCCCCGAGGCAACAGGUGUAAGAAACAAAGGGUGGGAGGUUGGACCCGGAGGCCCUCACUCGGUAAUGAUCCCUCCGCAGGUUCACCUACGGAGA